rnacentral:rRNA from 1 species
AGUGAACGCUGGCGGUAGGCCUAACACAUGCAAGUCGAACGGCAGCACAGUAAGAGCUUGCCCUUACGGGUGGCGAGUGGCGGACGGGUGAGGAAUACAUCGGAAUCUACUUUUUCGUGGGGGAUAACGUAGGGAAACUUACGCUAAUACCGCAUACGACCUACGGGUGAAAGCAGGGGAUCUUCGGACCUUGCGCGAUUGAAUGAGCCGAUGUCGGAUUAGCUAGUUGGCGGGGUAAAGGCCCACCAAGGCGACGAUCCGUAGCUGAUCUGAGAGGAUGAUCAGCCACACUGGAACUGAGACACGGUCCAGACUCCUACGGGAGGCAGCAGUGGGGAAUAUUGGGCAAUGGGCGCAAGCCUGAUCCAGCCAUGCCGCGUGGGUGAAGAAGGCCUUCGGGUUGUAAAGCCCUUUUAUUAGGAAAGAAAAGCAGCAGGUUAAUACCCCGCUGUUCUGACGGUACCCAAAGAGUAAGCACCGGCUAACUUCGUG